GCAGAGUUGGGAGGCCGAGGGGCUAUCCGCCACAGGAGCGCACUUCCGGGGAUAACAAACACACUUUCAGAAUCCGGCAUCGGCAUUUCAUCCGACUCCUCCGACGUGCGCACCUGUUUGCUGUUCUUCUUCUCUUCCGGGGUUUUCUUGUCGUUUUUUUUGAAAGCUUCGAAAGUGGCGGGGUCGACACUGUAUAAACAUUCGGUCCACUUCCCAUAGAGGGCACAGAGCUUCUUUUUGCUGUCAAGAGACACUGAUGUUUAGCCAACAAUUAACCCAGCAUUUUGCUAUAACUGAAUAUUAUUAAAAAGAGGCUUAUGAAUCAGAUUCUUUAGAGAAAUAAAUAUUUCCUUGUAGAAGAUUUUCCAACUUAUUGAAAUGCCUGUUUCCUAGGUUAUAGCAGAUUUUAAUACUGACAUUUUAUUUAUAAAUAAAUAAAUAAAUAAAUGUUGACCUGUACUAGUCACCAUUUAAAAUGAACACUUUACCUUUUAUCUUGAAUGUAGCCUUCAACUUUGUGUAAUUCCUUACCAAAAAGGCCACAUGGCUUGAAAUUCAACACACAUUUGUCCCCAGUCCUGAGGAGGAGAUAGGAAGCUCAGAUUACCAUCUGCCACGGAAGAAGCAAUAGAGAGUAAUGAUUAUGGUAACAUUUCCAGCAGCAUUUUGCUGCUGGGCCCACA